AGUGAACGCUGGCGGUAGGCCUAACACAUGCAAGUCGAACGGCAGCACAGUAAGAGCUUGCUCUUACGGGUGGCGAGUGGCGGACGGGUGAGGAAUACAUCGGAAUCUACUUUUUCGUGGGGGAUAACGUAGGGAAACUUACGCUAAUACCGCAUACGACCUACGGGUGAAAGCAGGGGAUCUUCGGACCUUGCGCGAUUGAAUGAGCCGAUGUCGGAUUAGCUAGUUGGCGGGGUAAAGGCCCACCAAGGCGGCGAUCCGUAGCUGGUCUGAGAGGAUGAUAAGCCACACUGGAACUGAGACAGGGUCCAGACUCCUACGGGAGGCAGCAGUGGGGAAUAUUGGACAAUGGGCGCAAGCCUGAUCCAGCCAUACCGCGUGGGUGAAGAAGGCCUUCGGGUUGUAAAGCCCUUUUGUUGGGAAAGAAAAGCAGCAGGUUAAUACCCCGCUGUUCUGACGGUACCCAAAGAAUAAGCACCGGCUAACUUCGUG
rnacentral:rRNA from 1 species